rnacentral:rRNA from 1 species
UCCGCCAGGGGACUACAAGCAUAAGCUUAAAACCCAAAGGACUUGGCGGUGCUUUAGAUCCACCUAGAGGAGCCUGUUCUAGAACCGAUAACCCCCGUUAAACCUCACCCCUUCUUGUUAUUUUCCGCCUAUAUACCGCCGUCGUCAGCUUACCUUGUGAAAGAAUAAUAGUAAACAAAAUCGGUGUUAACCCAAAACGUCAGGUCGAGGUGUAGCGAAUGAAGAGGGAAGAAAUGGGCUACAUUUCCUGAAUACAGGAAAUUACGGAGUAUACAAUGAAAUAAGUAUAUGAAGGAGGAUUUAGCAGUAAAUGGAAAAUAGAGUGUUCC